GAUGAAGAGCGUAGCGAAAUGCGAUAAGUAAUGUGAAUUGCAGAAUUCAGUGAAUCAUCGAAUCUUUGAACGCACAUUGCGCCCGCCAGUAUUCUGGCGGGCAUGCCUGUUCGAGCGUCAUUUCAACCAUCAAGCCCCAGGCUUGUGUUGGGGACCUGCGGCUGCCGCAGGCCCUGAAAACCAGUGGCGGGCUCGCUGUCACACCGGGCGUAGUAGAUUUUAUCUCGCUCAGGGCGUGCUGCGGGUUCCGGCCGUUAAAAAGCCUUUUUUACCCAAGGUUGACCUCGGAUCAGGUAGGAAGACCCGCUGAACUUAAGCAUAUCAAUAAGCGGAGGA
rnacentral:misc_RNA from 1 species